UUGGGUGACGAGUGGCGGACGGGUGAGUAAUGUCUGGGGAUCUGCCCGAUAGAGGGGGAUAACCACUGGAAACGGUGGCUAAUACCGCAUAACGUCGCAAGACCAAAGAGGGGGACCUUCGGGCCUCUCACUAUCGGAUGAACCCAGAUGGGAUUAGCUAGUAGGCGGGGUAAUGGCCCACCUAGGCGACGAUCCCUAGCUGGUCUGAGAGGAUGACCAGCCACACUGGAACUGAGACACGGUCCAGACUCCUACGGGAGGCAGCAGUGGGGAAUAUUGCACAAUGGGCGCAAGCCUGAUGCAGCCAUGCCGCGUGUAUGAAGAAGGCCUUCGGGUUGUAAAGUACUUUCAGCGGGGAGGAAGGCGAUGCG
rnacentral:rRNA from 1 species